rnacentral:lncRNA from 1 species
UAUGGUCAAUAUGAGGCCUCAAUGGAGAAAGUUGGGGUGAUUUCACCCCAACCCCACCUGCAGGCUCCUCUCUUCUCAGUUUCCCAGCAGAACUCGCUGUAGCAUGAGGCUGCUCCAGGGUCUAAAUGCACAGGAAGAAGCCCUGCCCCACUCUCCCUGCUCAAGAUGGGUGGUGGAGGGUCAAUUCUGAGGGCUUUGGUAGAUAAAAGGCUUGUAAAGGAGGGAAGGGGCUAGAGUGAGGUGUCAUGACCACUCCAGUGGCAGAGGAAAUAGAAAGGCCUGUGAAGAGGUGAGGUUUAUUAGAAAAUAAAGUAUAGCAGGGAAUUCCGAAUGAAAAAGGGAAUCAGGGCCUUUGGCUUCCUAGCUCCAGGCCGCCUCAUAAACAUAUAAUAGCCAAUCUCAAACAGUGCCCACCUCGCUCACCUCGCAGUGCAGGCUGUGUGUCCCUGGCAGCCUCUUAGGGCUCCUCCUUCCUAAUGUGAACUGAGCUAACUUGCCCUCUUAUUGAUCCCUGCCAAAGUCAUUUCCUCCUCAGAAUCCACAUGUGCUGCUGAUCUGUUUAUCAUCCCUUCUAGAAGAUUUUGUACUAAACAAGAAGUAAGCUUUCUUAAAAUAGGAGAUUUAAUUCUAGCCAAAAGAUUUUAUUAGUAACUUUCUGUUACAAGGCAAAUAAACCGAGAUUUGAAAAUACUCUAUUAUCCUACCAUUUAACGAUGACCCCUACUUAGCAUGUGAUAUUUGUUCUUCCGCUCUUCCUUUUCAACACCAUGUGUGUGCACCAUGGAGUUCACUGCUGCUCAUGCUCACACUGACUCCAGCACAGAGACAGUCUGUCAUGGGGAGCAGUGAGGCGGGGCAAGGGGUGGGCACCGACCCUCUCCAACCCAGCUGUGCAGGAGAUUCCAGCAGGGAAAAUGGGUGCCAGGCUAACACCCAAGUUGAGUCUUGAGAUUUUAUUGGAUGCUAUGUGUUGGGAUUGGUUUCCACUGAAUUUCUAAGACUUGCGGUGAUUAUCUCAUUAAAUACAAUAGCGUAUGGCACUGAUUAUUGUCUGCUUUUGAGCAGGAGCU